rnacentral:rRNA from 1 species
GUGGGAUUCCCUUUGUGGGGUGCACCAUCGACCGACCGUGAGCUUUUGCGAAAGGUUCGAGUGAAAGUAUACCUGUUGGGACCCGAAAGAUGGUGAACUAUGCCUGAGCAGGGCGAAGCCAGAGGAAACUCUGGUGGAGGCUCGUAGCGAUACUGACGUGCAAAUCGUUCGUCAGACUUGGGUAUAGGGGCGAAAGACUAAUCGAACCAUCUAGUAGCUGGUUCCCUCCGAAGUAUCCCUCAGGAUAGCUGGAGCUCAUAUUGAGAGUUUUAUCAGGUAAAGCGAAUGAUUAGAGGCAUUGGGGGUGAAACACCCUCGACCUAUUCUCAAACUUUAAAUAGGUAAGGUGUCGGGGUUGCUCCGCUGAACCCCGACCUUUGAAUCUGAGCUCCAAGUGGGCCAUUUUUGGUAAGCAGAACUGGCGAUGCGGGAUGAACCGAAAGUCGAGCUACGGUGCCAAAGUGCGCGC